AAAAAUUAAGCAGUAGAACAACAAAAACAAAAACAAGAACAAAAGUAACAACAAGAACAACAAGAAUAAUAAAAACAACAUAAACAACAACAAUAACAAUAACAAUAAGAAGAAGAAGAAGAAGAAGAAGAAGAAGAAGAAGAACAAUAAUAACAACAAGAACAACAAUAAGAACAACAACAAGAACAACAAGAAUAACAAUAAGAAUAAUAAGAACAA
rnacentral:lncRNA from 1 species